rnacentral:rRNA from 1 species
UACGUAGGGCGCGAGCGUUGUCCGGAUUUAUUGGGCGUAAAGAGCUCGUAGGCGGUUUGUCGCGUCGGCUGUGAAAUCCCGGGGCUCAACUCCGGGUCUGCAGUCGAUACGGGCAGACUUGAGUGCGGUAGGGGAGACCGGAAUUCCUGGUGUAGCGGUGAAAUGCGCAGAUAUCAGGAGGAACACCGGUGGCGAAGGCGGGUCUCUGGGCCGUUACUGACGCUGAGGAGCGAAAGCGUGGGGAGCGAACAGG